CACAAGCGGUGGAGCAUGUGGUUAAUUCGACGCAACGCGAAGAACCUUACCAGGGCUUGACAUCCCCUGACCGCGUAUGAAGUACGUUUUCACCCUCGGGUGACAGGGACACAGAUGCUGCAUGGCUGUCGUCAGCUCGUGUCGUGAGAUGUUGGGUUAAGUCCCGCAACGAGCGCAACCCUUGUCAUUAGUUGCCAUCAUUUGGUUGGGCACUCUAAUGAGACUGCCGGUGACAAACCGGAGGAAGGUGGGGAUGACGUCGAGUCCUCAUGGCCCUUAUGGGUAGGGCUUCACACGUCAUACAAUGGUCGGUACAGAGGGUUGCCAACCCGCGAGGGGGGAGCUAAUCCCACAAAGCCGAUCGUAGUCCGGAUCGCAGUCUGCAACUCGACUGCGUGAAGUCGGAAUCGCUAGUAAUCGUGGAUCAGCAUGUCACGGUGAAUACGUUCCCGGGUCUU
rnacentral:rRNA from 1 species